AUAUAAUGAGACAACAGGAUGGCCAUAAUACGGCCCCUCACUAUUACUGGCAGGUGGUGCCAAAAUGAUGUGACAGCAGCAUUUACACAUGAAAUCUCACCGAACAUUUGUCCUUUUCAGCAGCACAUAACCCAGCCGUCCUGCCUGUCGCCAUAACAACGCCACAGCCCCUCUGUCACAGUAGCCCCAUGCAGUCAGACCACGGUUCGGGGGGGAGAGGGGGAAGUCUUGGUGGAGCGACAACAGACGUGAAUGAGAAGUCGAGACACUUCCACCCCUGUGAACUUGAACUUGACUGACAGUCUGAGCGACUGGCGGGAGAGAAUGGAAAUCAACUCUGUGAUUCAGUUCCCAUCAUCCUGUUCAUGAUGCACAUUUUAUGUUUAUAAAAUAUGUCUGAAAACUAUAUUGUAAGAAUCAUAUCAACGUGUUGCCUGUUCAGGAGAAAAAAACAAAUUUGGACCAACUAUUUAUGUCGUGCCAGUUCGUAAAAAUAAUAUUCAACUGUGAAGGCAUUUUUAAAUUUGAAAUUUAAUUUCAAUCAAUAAUACAUUUUUUAAAUUCGUGAUAAAACAUUAAUUUAUCUCUGUGUUUUUCAAUACAGCCAAUGACAAUAAUAAUAAAGUUGUAUUGAUGAUAGUAAUAUUAAUGAAGAAUCUGCAAUAUUAUAUUAUUUGUAUUUGGCUGUAAUAAUUGUAUCAGAAUCAUCAUGAUUAUAGAGCUAAUGCUCAGUGUCUCAUAUUAUAAGUGUUCAACGUCGUCUCUCUGCCUCAGACUCCCUGUUUGCUCCAUACUGAAGCUGUUAAAAAUCAUCUGGUCCACAUCAGGGGUCUGAGCCACCCAGACUCAGUGGACCAUGGGAAAAUAAACAGAGUUGUGAAAAGGUCCCCUGUCGCUGUGGCAAAGCUAAGAACGAGCCGUAGCAGGAUAAUCGCAUGUACUCCCAGAUUAAGAAGGGAUGCAGCUGUGGGGGCUGCAGAGGUGUAAUGAUCCAUUGAUUCAAUCAUCCACCUUAAGGAGACGGCUCAGGUGGGUCUAUGAGGCUGGGCCGACCUGUUGGGACUUAACCUGUUCACGGUCAUUAUCAUGGCACCGUCAUUGACAACAAAAGCUGUUUUUCUUUCCCUUAGAGAGUGCCUGAAAGUUAUCUGUAUGUUAAUCUGGACUUUAUUCUGUGUAUCUCUGAUGUCUGUGUGAGUGGAACUGAUCAAAUUAAAUCAAAUGGGCUUUUAUUUUGGUAUCUGGCAAAAAUAUAAAGAAGUAAUCAUUCAGUAAUAUUCUAAAGUAUAGUUUAAUGUCUUCUCAACAACAUCCCUUGCUUAUUUUUAUGGAUGAGAUAAAAAUUUUAAGGAUCUAAGAUUUUUAGAUUUAGACAAUACUUUCAUUCAUAUAUUUAAAAAAAUAGUCAAGGCCAAGUAACUUUAAAAGAUUUAACCUGAUUCAUUUGGUGAUUUUGUGUUUCACUUUGUAGUGUUUGUUUAACUUUGUUUCACUUUAAAUCAACUUUGGAUUCACUCCCAGUGU